rnacentral:rRNA from 1 species
CUGGCGGAUGCUUUACACAUUGCAAGUCGAACGGCAGCACGGGAGCAUCCUGGUGGCGAGUGGCGAACGGGUGAGUAAUACAUCGGAACGUGCCCAGUAGUGGGGGAUAACCCGGCGAAAGCCGGACUAAUACCGCAUACGACCUACGGGUGAAAGCAGGGGAUCGCAAGACCUUGGCGCUAUUGGAGCGGCGAUGUCAGAUUAGCUUGUUGGCGGGGUAAAAGCCCACCAAGGCGACGAUCUGUAGCUGGUCUGAGAGGACGACCAGCCACACUGGGACUGAGACACGGCCCAGACUCCUACGGGAGGCAGCAGUGGGGAAUUUUGGACAAUGGGCGCAAGCCUGAUCCAGCCAUGCCGCGUGCGGGAAGAAGGCCUUCGGGUUGUAAACCGCUUUUGUCAGGGAAGAAACGCUCCGGGCUAAUACCUUGGAGUAAUGACGGUACCUGAAGAAUAAGCACCGGCUAACUACGUGCCAGCAGCCGCGGUAAUACGUAGGGUGCAAGCGUUAAUCGGAAUUACUGGGCGUAAAGCGUGCGCAGGCGGUUUGCAAGACAGAUGUGAAAUCCCCGGGCUUAACCUGGGAACUGCAUUUGUGACUGCAUGGCUAGAGUGCGGCAAGGGGGAUGGAAUUCCGCGUGUAGCAGUGAAAUGCGUAGAUUGCGGAGGAACACCGAUGGCGAAGGCAAUCCCCUGGGCCUGCACUGACGCUCAUGCACGAAAAGCGUGGGGAGCAAACGGGAUUAGAUACCCGGUAGUCCUGGCCCUAAACGAUGUUCAACU